AUACGGAGGAUGCGAGCGUUAUCCGGAUUUAUUGGGUUUAAAGGGGGCGUAGGUGGGAUAUUAAGUCAGCUGUGAAAGUUUGGGGCUCAACCUUAAAAUUGCAGUUGAUACUGGUUUCCUUGAGUACGGUACAGGUGGGCGGAAUUCGUGGUGUAGCGGUGAAAUGCUUAGAUAUCACGAAGAACUCCGAUCGCGAAGGCAGCUCACCGGGCCGGAACUGACACUGAUGCUCGAAAGUGCGGGUAUCAAACAGGAUUAGAUACCCUGGUAGUCCGCACAGUAAACGAUGAAUACUCGCUGUUUGCGAUACACUGUAAGCGGCCAAGCGAAAGCGUUAAGUAUUCCACCUGGGGAGUACGCCGGCAACGGUGAAACUCAAAUGAAUUGGCGGG
rnacentral:rRNA from 1 species